UACAGAGGGUGCGAGCGUUAUCCGGAUUCACUGGGUUUAAAGGGUGCGUAGGAGGGUAGGUAAGUCAGUGGUGAAAUCUUCGAGCUUAACUCGGAAACUGCCGUUGAUACUAUCUAUCUUGAAUACCGUGGAGGUGAGCGGAAUAUGUCAUGUAGCGGUGAAAUGCUUAGAUAUGACAUAGAACACCAAUUGCGAAGGCAGCUCGCUACACGAAUAUUGACUCUGAGGCACGAAAGCGUGGGGAUCAAACAGG
rnacentral:rRNA from 1 species